AUUGAACGCUGGCGGCAGGCCUAACACAUGCAAGUCGAGCGGAUGAGAGGAGCUUGCUCCUUGAUUCAGCGGCGGACGGGCGAGUAAUGCCUAGGAAUCUGCCUGGUAGUGGGGGACAACGUUUCGAAAGGAACGCUAAUACCGCAUACGUCCUACGGGAGAAAGCAGGGGACCUUCGGGCCUCGCGCUAUCAGAUGAGCCUAGGUCGGAUUAGCUAGUUGGUGAGGUAAUGGCUCACCAAGGCGACGAUCCGUAACUGGUCUGAGAGGAUGAUCAGUCACACUGGAACUGAGACACGGUCCAGACUCCUACGGGAGGCAGUAGUGGGGAAUAUUGGACAAUGGGCGAAAGCCUGAUCCAGCCAUGCCGCGUGUGUGAAGAAGGUCUUCGGAUUGUAAAGCACUUUAAGUUGGGAGGAAGGGCAGUAAGUUAAUACCUUGCUGUUUUGACGUUACCGACAGAAUAAGCACCGGCUAACUCUGUGCCAGCCGCCGCAGUAAGAC
rnacentral:rRNA from 1 species